ACUGUAUGCUUGUUAGAUGUUCUACAUAGACUAGGAAAGUCCGGACUCUAGCAUAAGGUGUUGAAUAACAUUCAACGAAGUAAACUUCAGGGAAAGUAUUAUAGGAAACAUUUAAAUAUUUUCUAGUAUUUAAAUUGAAAUGAUUUUAAUCAGUCAAAAGUGUAUGCUUUUUACAACAAGAAACUCCCACCUAGAGCAAGAUCAUAAGAUCGCUACAAGUGAAUUUUUGUCACUGCAGAUAAAUGAACAUCCAAGAAGAAUAAGUGAUUCUUCUAGACAAAAUCCGGCUUAUAAACAAGCUACAGU
rnacentral:RNase_P_RNA from 1 species